rnacentral:rRNA from 1 species
UGCAGUCGACGGCAGCACGGGUGCUUGCACCUGGUGGCGAGUGGCGAACGGGUGAGUAAUACAUCGGAACAUGUCCUGUAGUGGGGGAUAGCCCGGCGAAAGCCGGAUUAAUACCGCAUACGAUCUACGGAUGAAAGCGGGGGACCUUCGGGCCUCGCGCUAUAGGGUUGGCCGAUGGCUGAUUAGCUAGUUGGUGGGGUAAAGGCCUACCAAGGCGACGAUCAGUAGCUGGUCUGAGAGGACGACCAGCCACACUGGGACUGAGACACGGCCCAGACUCCUACGGGAGGCAGCAGUGGGGAAUUUUGGACAAUGGGCGAAAGCCUGAUCCAGCAAUGCCGCGUGUGUGAAGAAGGCCUUCGGGUUGUAAAGCACUUUUGUCCGGAAAGAAAUCCUUGGUUCUAAUAUAGCCGGGGGAUGACGGUACCGGAAGAAUAAGCACCGGCUAACUACGUGCCAGCAGCCGCGGUAAUACGUAGGGUGCAAGCGUUAAUCGGAAUUACUGGGCGUAAAGCGUGCGCAGGCGGUUUGCUAAGACCGAUGUGAAAUCCCC